CUAACGUUCUUUUGCUUUGCCUAAACAAUGCAUUUAGGAAGUGUCCCAUUAUCAGAUAGCUCAGUGUAUGUGUUUUACCACCAACCAAUCCCACCACUUUGUACCCCUCUCCCUGAUCAUCUUGAGCUAAGGACAAGCGAAUUUCAAAAGCACCCAAGUGGUAGUGCCGUCAUGGCAAGAUGAGCAUCGUCACAUGACCAAAUCUCUGGUCUAUUCUAAGCUUAUAAGCUCCAGAAUUUAAGUCCAAAGAAAGUUCAAAAAAGUCCCAGAGCAAUGACUUCUCCCUCCAGUUCCUACCCAUAACAUUUGUUGAGCAUCAACUGUGCAUCAGCAUUCUUCUAAGUGCUUUAAACAGAUUAACACUUCUCAUUCUCACCCCAUGAAUUAGAUUCACUUUUUAUUUGGGAAAUUGAGGCAUGGAAUGGUUGCAUAACUCGCUCAAAGUCAUAAAGUAAGUGAAAGAACCAGGAUCUAGAUCUUAGUAAUCCAACCUCCAUAUUUCUCUGGCUUUGGAGACCAAAAUGCUUAAAAUAGUGUUUUUCAAGGUUGGUCCAAGGUAUUUGCUUCAGGAUCAUGAGGCAGAGGUAGCAUUUGUUGUUAUAAAGGUGACUCCCUCCACUCCAGCAUUAUCAAAUCCAAAGUCUAUGGAUAGGAAUCCAUAUUUUCAACAAAUACCUCAGGUGAUUUUGCGCGCAUCAAAGCUGGAAACUGAUUGAUUUAAGCAGACCAUGCUUCAGCUCCUACAAGAAGAACCCACUGAUUUCUGAAAGGAAACAGGUCACAUGCAGCAGCUACAGUUACCAGAAUAAGGUCCAAAUGAGGGCUUCUCACCAUAAGGAACUCCACUGACAUGAAUUCAGACAACAGCAAUACAUGGAAGUUGUACUUGCAAAGAUUCAUUAUACACGUGGCAUUCCUAAAGAGUAGAUGACAGAGGAUCUGCUGCCAGCCACGUGUGUCCAAAGCGACGGUGAGGGAGCGGCCUCUUCAUCUACAAGCCUAGGGGUUAACCCUGGAGAUCUUAGUGGCGGAAGGGCCAAGCUCGUCCCCAUUGAACAUCCUCUCCCAAGAGAAAAGUAAGAGGCAGAGAUCCUGAAAGCUGAGGCCAACGGGUACCUGCAUGUAUUUCUGCAGAUUGAUUCCAACGGGAUGGACGUUCAUCAAUUGCCUGAGGAAGAAUUGAUUUUUCAGUUUAGUCCUUAUCAUUCACAGAGGAAAGAAUAUGAAGAUUUUUGCCUUUAGAAGAUGAAAGAUCAUGAAGAGAAUGUGAAAUGAAUGGAUGCUCAUUUUUAAUAUGAUACCCUUUCUGAAAAAUCAAUAUGGCUAAAAUAUAUUUGCAGUAAUUUUAGGGGGUGUCUUCUUUUAUAUCUAGCAAAUCUAAAUCAGAGAGAAAAUAUUUGUUAACUUUAUUUAAAUUGAAAAACAAAAAACCAAUAAAGUUCUCUCCAAGAGAGAAAAACGUGAAGC
rnacentral:lncRNA from 1 species